UCGAAGACGAUCAGAUACCGUC
rnacentral:siRNA from 1 species